AUUGAACGCUGGCGGCAUGCCUUACACAUGCAAGUCGAACGGAUCAGAAGGGCUUGCUCUUCUGGUUAGUGGCGAACGGGUGAGUAAUGCAUCGGAACGUACCCAGUCGUGGGGGAUAACGUAGCGAAAGUUACGGUAAUUCCGCAUACGAUCUGAGGAUGAAAGCGGGGGGCCUUCGGGCCUCGCCCGAUUGGAGCGGCCGAUGUCGGAUUAGCUAGUUGGUGAGGUAAAGGCUCACCAAGGCGACGAUCCGUAGCUGGUCUGAGAGGACGACCAGCCACACUGGGACUGAGACACGGCCCAGACUCCUACGGGAGGCAGCAGUGGGGAAUGUUGGACAAUGGGCGAAAGCCUGAUCCAGCCAUGCCGCGUGAGUGAAGAAGGCCUUCGGAUUGUAAAGCUCUUUCAGACGGAAAGAAAUCUUCUGGGUGAAUAUCCCGGGAGGAUGACGGUACCGUAAGAAGAAGCACCGGCUAACUACGUGCCAGCCGCCGCGGUAAUAC
rnacentral:rRNA from 1 species